UACGUAGGGUGCAAGCGUUAAUCGGAAUUACUGGGCGUAAAGCGUGCGCAGGCGGUUUUGUAAGCCAGAUGUGAAAGCCCCGGGCUUAACCUGGGAAUGGCAUUUGGGACUGCAGGGCUUGAGUGCGGCAGAGGAGACUGGAAUUCCUGGUGUAGCAGUGAAAUGCGUAGAUAUCAGGAGGAAUACCGAUGGCGAAGGCAGGUCUCUGGGCUGACACUGACGCUCAUGCACGAAAGCGUGGGGAGCAAACAGG
rnacentral:rRNA from 1 species